GGGGAUGUGGCUCAAUGGCAGAGCACUUGCCUAGUAUGAGCAGGGCCCUGUGUUCCAUCCCCA
rnacentral:tRNA from 1 species